UACGUAGGGUGCGAGCGUUGUCCGGAAUUAUUGGGCGUAAAGAGCUCGUAGGCGGUUUGUCGCGUCUGCUGUGAAAACCCGAGGCUCAACCUCGGGCCUGCAGUGGGUACGGGCAGACUAGAGUGCGGUAGGGGAGAUUGGAAUUCCUGGUGUAGCGGUGGAAUGCGCAGAUAUCAGGAGGAACACCGAUGGCGAAGGCAGAUCUCUGGGCCGAUACUGACGCUGAGGAGCGAAAGCGUGGGGAGCAAACAGG
rnacentral:rRNA from 1 species